UUCCUCCCUUCCCCUUCUCACUCUCUCUCUCCUUCUCACUCUCUCUCUCUUUCUCUCUCUCUCUUCCUUCCUUGUUUUCUUACCUAACCCACAUUCCCAGAAAAUGAUGUGAAUAAAGACAAGUGUUGGACCUCAAUGUGUCAAAGUUAAACUACAACUAGGAUCUGCCUUCUGAGGAUGAGAUGAACACUUUUAACAAGAGAACAGGACUCUAUAUAAAUCGCUGUGGGCUCACCACCUCUAAGGAGGAGCACUGACUGAAGACAGGAAAUGAAACCAAUUUCUACAACAUAGGAAUGAUUUCGGCAUGUCUAGGAGAGUCAGAGAAAAGACGGGAGGGAAAUGGGGGAGAAAGAAAAACGUGAGAGAACCUUCUACUUCCUGAAAGGCACCAUGACUCUGGAAUGGUAAGUGCACAAUUUUACCUGUUACUUUUGCAAAUCAAGAAAAGGCAAAAAAGACAAGAUGAUAUGCUCUGAUUUGUGGAAUUAGAUAAAUUAUUUGUCUGAAGAAGUGGACAAAGAAAUGGAAGUUGGAUUUUAGAUUGUUUUCAAACUAAAACUGUUCUUCAUAGCAAGCAAUGUAAGCUAGGCAUAGAAACCUUUUUCUAUUCAUCAGCCUCUAUAAGUAAAACAGAAAUAUCCAUGUUAAAAAUCUAGUAUUUUAAAAUAUAACUUUCUUUGCAAGAGUCUGCUUUUAAUUUUUAUUUUAUCAAAGAGAAUCACUUAAGUCAGAAUUCAUUUGAGCAAUCUGGCUUAAAUUGGGGAAUAGUCAACACUGGAUUGCCAUUUUAAGUUUCCAGAUUAAUACAAAAUUAGUGUCAAUAGU
rnacentral:lncRNA from 1 species